rnacentral:rRNA from 1 species
GUGGGGAAUUUUGGACAAUGGGCGAAAGCCUGAUCCAGCAAUGCCGCGUGCAGGAAGAAGGCCUUCGGGUUGUAAACUGCUUUUGUACGGAACGAAACGGUCCUGGUUAAUACCUGGGGCUAAUGACGGUACCGUAAGAAUAAGCACCGGCUAACUACGUGCCAGCAGCCGCGGUAAUACGUAGGGUGCGAGCGUUAAUCGGAAUUACUGGGCGUAAAGCGUGCGCAGGCGGUGCUGUAAGACAGGAGUGAAAUCCCCGGGCUCAACCUGGGAAUUGUGCUUGUGACUGCAGUGCUGGAGUACGGCAGAGGGGGAUGGAAUUCCGCGUGUAGCAGUGAAAUGCGUAGAUAUGCGGAGGAACACCGAUGGCGAAGGCAGUCCCCUGGGCCUGUACUGACGCUCAUGCACGAAAGCGUGGGGAGCAAACAGGAUUAGAAACCCUUGUAGUCC